rnacentral:rRNA from 1 species
GACGAACGCUGGCGGCGUGCUUAACACAUGCAAGUCGAACGGAAAGGCCCUGCUUUUGUGGGGUGCUCGAGUGGCGAACGGGUGAGUAACACGUGAGUAACCUGCCAUUGACUUUGGGAUAACUUCAGGAAACUGGGGCUAAUACCGGAUAGGAGCUCCUGCUGCAUGGUGGGGGUUGGAAAGUUUCGGCGGUUGGGGAUGGACUCGCGGCUUAUCAGCUUGUUGGUGGGGUAGUGGCUUACCAAGGCUUUGACGGGUAGGCGACCUGGGGGGGUGAUCGGCCACACGGGAACGGACACACGGUCCAAACUCGUACGGGAGGCAGCGGUAGGAAUCUUCCGCGAAGGGCGAAAGCCUGACGGAGCAACGCCGCGUGAGUGAUGACGGUCUUCGGAUCGUAAAACUCUGUUAUUAGGGAAGAACAAAUGUGUAAGUAACUAUGAACGUCUUGACGGUACCUAAUCAGAAAGCCCCGGCUAACUACGUG